rnacentral:rRNA from 1 species
CAGUAGCCGCGGUAAUACGUAGGUGGCAAGCGUUGUCCGGAAUUAUUGGGCGUAAAGCGCGCGCAGGCGGAUCAGUCAGUCUGUCUUAAAAGUUCGGGGCUUAACCCCGUGAUGGGAUGGAAACUGCUGAUCUAGAGUAUCGGAGAGGAAAGUGGAAUUCCUAGUGUAGCGGUGAAAUGCGUAGAUAUUAGGAAGAACACCAGUGGCGAAGGCGACUUUCUGGACGAAAACUGACGCUGAGGCGCGAAAGCCAGGGGAGCGAACGGGAUUAGAGACCCGUGUAGUCCCUGUCUCUUAUACA